UUACGGCCACAUCACGUUGACACAUCAGUUCCCGUACGAUCACCGACGUUAAAGCAACAUUGAGCCAGGUCAGUGCGGAGAUGGGUGACCACUUGUUAAUACCAGGCGCUGUAG